UCCGUGAUAGUUUAAUGGUCAGAAUGGGCGCUUGUCGCGUGCCAGAUCGGGGUUCAAUUCCCCGUCGCGAAG
rnacentral:tRNA from 1 species